UACACCGGUGACGCUGCCGACAACCCCGUAAAGGACGACAGGGAAAGCAACCCCGCCAAGCCCCAACCGCCUCGCGCCGCAGGUCGGAACCCACCACUCCCUCGGGUGAACAUCACCAACUCGGCUUGCGCGCUGCCCUGUCGCGCCCCAUACGCUCACGCCGAGCGCACCACCGCACCACCGCACCACCACGCAACCGCACCACCGCACCACCACACAACCGCAGACAUGCGACGGCCCCCGCCGGGACUGGCAUCCCAAUGCGAGGGCCUGACCACCGAGGAAGAAAGCCGCUUCCCG
rnacentral:ncRNA from 1 species